rnacentral:rRNA from 1 species
UACAGAGGGUGCUAGCGUUGUCCGGAAUCAUUGGGCGUAAAGAGCGUGUAGGCGGUCCGGUAAGUCCGCUGUGAAAGUCGGGGGCUCAACCCUCGAAAGCCGGUGGAUACUGUCGGACUAGAGUACGGAAGAGGCGAGUGGAAUUCCUGGUGUAGCGGUGAAAUGCGCAGAUAUCAGGAGGAACACCAAUUGCGAAGGCAGCUCGCUGGGACGUUACUGACGCUGAGACGCGAAAGCGUGGGGAGCAAACAGG